UACAGAGGGGGCAAGCGUUGUCCGGAUUUACUGGGCGUACAGCGCGCGUAGGCGGCCUUGGACGUGCCGUGUGACAUACGAGGGCUCAACCCUCGGGGGCCACGGUAGACGCUGAGGCUAGAGGCAGGGAGAGGGAUGUGGAAUACCCGGUGGAGCGGUGAAAUGCGUAGAGAUCGGGUGGAACACCAGGGGCGCAGGCGGCAUCCUGGCCCUGACCUGACGCUGAGGCGCGAGAGCGUGGGGAGCAAACUGG
rnacentral:rRNA from 1 species